GACUGGUCCAUCGCGUUGGGGACUGGUCCAUCGCGUUGGGGACUGGUCCAUCGCGUUGGGGACUGGUCCAUCGCGUUGGGGACUGGUCCAUCGCGUUGGGGUCUGGUCCAUCCCGUUGGGGACUGGUCCAUCGCGUUGGGGUCUGGUCCAGACCGUCCUGUUGGGGUCUGGUCCAGACCCCCUCCCCUCCCCUCCUUUUAUAACCGUAGUAACGCUGUACCUCUGGGUCGGCCCCCCCCCUCUGGGGCCUCUCCCGGCCUAUCAGAGGGUAGCGAUGGGGAGGGCCUCUCCCGGCCUAUCAGAGGGGAGCGAUGGGGAGGGCCUCUCCCGGCCUAUCAGAGGGUAGCGAUGGGGAGGGCCUCUCCCGGCCAAUCAGA